rnacentral:rRNA from 1 species
GAUGAACGCUAGCGGCAGGCCUAACACAUGCAAGUCGAGGGGCAUCAUAAAACAAGCUUGCUUGUUUGGUGGCGACCGGCGCACGGGUGCGUAACGCGUAUGCAACCUACCCUGUACUGGGGGAUAGCCCGGAGAAAUUCGGAUUAAGACCCCAUAGUAUUCUUGAAUGGCAUCAUUUGAGGAUUAAAGGUUACGGUACAGGAUGGGCAUGCGUCCUAUUAGCUAGAUGGUGAGGUAACGGCUUACCAUGGCAACGACAGGUAGGGGGCCUGAGAGGGGGGUCCCCCACCCUGGUACUGAGACACGGAUCAAACUCCUACGGGAGGCAGCAGUGAGGAAUAUUGGUCAAUGGGCGCAAGCCUGAACCAGCCAUGCCGCGUGCAGGAAGACGGUCCUAUGGAUUGUAAACUGCUUUUAUUUGGGAAUAAACCUCUUUACGUGUAGAGAGCUGAAGGUACCAAAUGAAUAAGCACCGGCUAACUCCGUGCCAGCCGCCGCCGUAAGAC